AUUAAAGGGCCGCGGUAUUUUAACCGUGCAAAGGUAGCAUAAUCAUUAGGUUUUUAAUUAGAAUCUUGUAUGAAUGGUUCGACAAAAGAAGUACUGUCUUUGUAUUAAAAUUUGAAUUUAACUUUUAAGUGAAAAGGCUUAAAUAUAUUAAAGGGACGAUAAGACCCUAUAAAACUUUACAUUGUAAUUUCAUUUAAUUAAAUUUAUAAAAUAAAAAUUUGAUUUAAUUAUAUGUUAUGUUGGGGAGACAGAAGUAAAAUAAAUUUUAACUGCUUUAUGUUAAAACAUAUAUUUAUGAAAUAUUAAAUGAUCCUUUAUAAAGAUUAAAAGAUUAAGUUACUUUAGGGAUAACAGCGUUAUUUUUUUUGAGAGUUCCUAUCGAAAAGAAAGUUUGCGACCUCGAUGUUGAAUUAAAAUAUCUUUAUGGUGCAGAAGCUAUAAAAGAAGGUCUGUUCGACCUUUAAAUUUUUACAUGAUUUGAGUUCA
rnacentral:rRNA from 1 species